GACGAACGCUGACGGUGUGCUUUAGACAUGCAAGUCGAACGAGAAAGCCCUUCGGGUUAGUAAAGUAGGCGAACGGGUGAGUAACACGUGGGCAAUCUGCCCCUCGCAGGGGGACGAACCGGAGGAAACCCCGGCUAAUACCCCGUAACGUUCAAAGGGAGGCAUCUCCCCUUGAAGAAAGGUAGCUUCGGCCAUCCGGCGAGGGAUGAGCCCGCGGUGCAUUAGCUAGUUGGUGGGGUAACGGCCCACCAAGGCGACGAUGCAUAGCUGGUCUGAGAGGAUGAUCAGCCACACUGGGACUGAGACACGGCCCAGACUCCUACGGGAGGCAGCAGUCGGGAAUCUUGCGCAAUGGGCGAAAGCCUGACGCAGCAACACCGUGUGUGUGAGGAAGGCCC
rnacentral:rRNA from 1 species